rnacentral:tmRNA from 1 species
GGGGGUGUUAGGAAGUAGAACUUUGCCUGAUGUUUCUGGGUGCAUGUAGAGGUGCGGUUGGCCUCUUUAAAAAGCCGCAAAACAAUAGUUGCAAAUGACAACACAUUCGAAGUAGCAGCUUAAAAAACUGUUCUCGGCACUCUCCUAGCAGCAGCUUGCAUGACGGGUUAAAGAGUGCAUCAGAAGCAAGCAAACCUAUUUGAGAUGGGUGGUCAUCUUAUAGGUCAACACCAAGCACACAUUGUGUGUUACUGCCCUUCGAGGUGACCCUUGCCCUCAUCUAAGGUCAUCUGACAAUAUUAUGAGAAAAAACAUGUAAUUCGCUUAGAUUCUUGAAGGUAAGGUCAUCGCAGUUCGAAUCUGCGCACCUCCACCA